CGCGAGAUGAAGACUGGGCUGCGUGCUUGUUUGCGCUGCUCUUUUCUUUGCUCUCAAAAGUACUCCCGCCCCGCGGUUUACGCUCCCUCCUCUCUCCCUCCCGCCCCGUACCAUCUCACCUCCCACAGCGCCUUCGUGGAUCGAGGUGGCAUAUCGCACACAGCGUCAUCGGGCUCUCCCGUCCGCCCAAACUUGUUACGCCUUUACCCCUCUUACGCUUCGCCUGCCUCUCCUCAGCGUGCAGUGUUACCGAGAUCGCCGCGCGAGAGUCCACCACGCUCGUUGUGGCAUUGCACUUCCAACAGCGUGUGACGCCGGUCGGUCCAUCUACCUUUCCUCCGUUUGUGGCACCCCCUGCAGCAAGUGCGUUGCUGAAGGGGCGCACCCCCUAUUGACCCAAGCGCGUGACAGCAGAGGAGGCCGCAAUUCUUUACCUCAGCGCCCUCGCACACAGUCGCACACGCGAACGUUCACGCCGGGCGCACACACAGACAGACGUGCAGACGCCGUCACUCAAAGAUCCAGGUGUGCUCGUCUUGGCUUAUACACGUUCACAGGUACAUACACCCGGAUGCACAGGGAGAGGUGACGCCACGCAGAGAUUACGGUCUUUUCCUCUCCUGCUGCCAUCUUUUAUCCCUGUGUUCUGCUUCUACUCUUCGUUGAUUUCCACAAGUGCACCUUUUUCUAUACGUAUUCUUUGUCCCCUGCGUGUGUGUGUGCGUGUCGGAUUGUUGGCGACUUGGCUAGGCUGUCCUCCUGCCCUUCCCAUCGCUUCUUGCGCUUCCCGUCCCUUCGCAGCACACGCUGUGGAUUUCGUCAGCUAGCCUGCCGCCAACUCACGACCGCCGCGCGCCGAAACCGGAAAUUAUGCGCUCGGGGUACGUUGGGAUCUACAAUCAAGGUAGCACGUGCUACCUGAACUCGGUCAUACAGGCGUUGUACCACCUACCCGCCUUCCGUACGCAAAUUUAUAACCUCCCGAAUGUGCAAAAAGACUCAGUCGCACUCGCUCUGCGGGACGUGUUUGCGCAGCUGGAGGUGCGCAACCGCAACACCACCACGACGGAGCUGACCAAGGCUUUUGGCUGGUCGGCGCAGGAGGCGGCAGUGCAGCAUGACGUUCAUGAGUUGAUGCAGCAGCUCUUUGACAGCCUCGAAACGACGCUGAAGGAGACGCCGAAGAAGAACAUGAUCCGUGACAUGUUUGGCGGCUUGAUGAUCUACCGGUCUCGUGCCAUAGACGGCGCCGAAUACCUCUCUGACCGCCUCGAGGAUUUCUACGACGUGGAGCUGGUAGUGCAGAACAAAGCAAACAUCGAGGAGUCACUGCGGGAGUUCUCAUCCGGAGAGCGGAUCGAAGGUGUCUGUGUGGAGGUGAUGCCUGGUGCGGACGCGACGCCGCACACGAUUGAGCGCAGUCAGCACUUCCUCGACUGCCCCAAGGUGCUCUUGGUACACCCGAACCGCGUGGCGUUUGACAUGGAAACAUACGAGCUGGUCACGCUACGUAAUGUGUGGAGUUUUGAUUUCAACUUAUCGCUGGCGAGCUACGUUGUCGAUGACGCCUCGCUGAAGCUCGACAAGGAGAGUCAGGAAAAAUGGAAGAAGCUCAGUCACCGCACCCACCUCGGCGCGAACUACAGCCUGCGCUCCAUCCUCACGCACGCCGGCGAUGCCACCAUCGGGCACUACUAUGUGUACGUCAACUUCGACGGGGAGUGGGUGCGCUUCAACGACGAGGUGGUCGAGCCGGCAACGGAGGAGGAUGUGCGCAAGUCCGCGUUUGGCGGGCAGUCGAUUCAGUCGCGCUACCGUCUCUUCGACAACGAGCGCGCGUCGCUGCUUAUCUACGUGAACGACGAUGUCAAGGAGGAAUUGUUGAACGAGACGCCGCCACCGAGCGCGAUCGUGGAGGUGGGCCGCCACAUUGAGGAAGAGCGCGCUAGGAAGGAGGAGACGCACAAGGUGAGCUACUACCUAUGCGACAAGUUCGUGGUGGACGUGCUCGACGGCGUGCACGGCGCCUCCGACAAGCUGCAGCGUCACAUGUCUGUGCGCCUCUCGCCCGGUCAAGAUGAGAUGACCGCCAUCAUCACUACUGCAGCGAAGGAGCUGCGCGUAGCGCCAGAGCAGAUUCGCAUCUUCUGCCGCGACCGUCACGGCCUCUCCCCAUGGUGUGCUGUUGAGUCGAUGUGCAACUCGUACGACUCAUACUAUUAUCCGCCCAUUUUUAUCGACAUCGCGCCGCCGCUCGCGGAAGAGGAUGCGGCGUCCGCCACGAUUGCCGCUGCCGCCGCCGAGCCGUUCCUCGCGUUCCUCCGUAAUGUCGAAUCGCCGCACGACCGCGACGUCCCCGUCACGAUCGUCCGCUCCAUCCCGGAGCUGCAAGCGCGAGUGCCGCGCGAUGCGGUCGUGUACGAAAGCCGCGGCGGCCCGCAGUACCUGAACGCCAUCACAGCGACGAACCAACUCGUGUGCGGCGCAAACUUACUUUAUACGCACCAGCGCUCCUCCAACGACGCGGUGCGCGGGUACCUUCAGCAGCGCCAGCUCGUCUGCACAAAGGUCUACCUGUACGACGACUACACCGCCGAGUUGACGGAGCUCUUUGAAAUAAAUAUUGUCGAAUCCACGCCCUACACCACGCUGCAGGCCGGGCUGUACAAGAUGAUGACAGAGUCGAAGAGGGGCCUGCCGAUCCCUCCCUCCCACAACCACCUCGCGUUCUUCAAGGGAAACGACAGAUGCAACUACGCCUUCGCAAUGCCCAUGGCGGCGUCGCUCACGAUUCAGUGGAACACGUACAACCACACCCUCCGAGAUGUGUGGGGUAGCGUGCAGCACGAGCACAAAAUUGUCAUGACAAUUCUUCCAAUGCCGCUCGAAAAGAUCGACUUGACGGUGCUGGUGACGUUCAACGGAGGAUACAAUAACUUGCCGCACGUGUACGUCCCAGUGGAGGGUGGCAGCGUUACUUUUCGCGAACUUCUUGAGUUGAUGGUGCAGCAGUUGGGCAGUCGUCUUCGGGCAGGCGCUGCCGCGGGGUACGAGCAGCAGCUCACCGGGCAGGCACGGCUGCUGCGGCUGCUGCGGGUCCGACGAGGCGAGCUGGUUGAGGUGGUGGAGGACCUGGACACUCCGAUUGAUCUCGAGGCACGCGAGGACAUUGUCCUGGACAAGCUGUGCCCGGCACUGCCCGGGUACGAGCUCGUCAACGUGCUCUUCUGCCGCCGCCGCUCAGGAGAGUACUACUUUGGUCUACCGACAAACAUCUGCAUCAACUCGUCUCUCGAGGAGCAGGGCGAUGUGCUUCUUCGACGCAUCGUAAAGAAGCUCGGGUACCCUGAUCAGGAGGAGGCAAUGAAGAAGUGGAUACUUUGUGUAAUGAACGUCAAGUCCCGCAAGACGCGCACUGCCAGCAAGAAGGAGGUGCUGGCAGAUCUCGUCAAGGAGGUCGGCGGCGCACCGUUCGUGUUCGUUGUCGACCGUCCCCAGUGCUUGCUCCUCGACGGCAUUGAAGAGGAGGAGCACCGGCCAGAGUCCAUCGUUAUCAAGUCUGCCUCGAAGACAGACCUCUCCGCGGCUUAGAGACGCACCAACGCUGCAGCGCUCACUUGCGUCUUCGUUCGAUGUUUGCGUGGUAUUGCUGCUCUCGCGGAGCGCAGGCACGCACGGAUGUGUGCGCGAGGGGUUCCGGUGGUGUUUGCUCGACUUUAAUCUUUGACGGUGACGACCGACCCCCCUGCUUGGGCUUAUCUGACCUGCACCGAGACCACUCCGUGCUACCACCCGCACGACAGGGGUGCGACCGCUUUCUGUCCUCGAGCAGGACCGUGCACGCGGUCCGCCUGGAUCAGGGCACGCAGCUCACGUGGGCGUGUCUGGCGACGACCGCGCAGCAUGUAUGGGCCAAAGGGACGAGGAAAGAGACGAAGUGUCGACUGGACGUAUGGGCCCGAUCCAAAAGGCAGACGGCUGGUCCUCGACGAGGAUGCAGCCGCAGUGCCGCAUGGGGUAGGUGGAGGGGUGCUUCAAGGAGACGCUGAGGGAUGCCGUGGUGCUCACGCGGAUUCUGUGCGAUGCCGCUCCUUGAACGCGCCCGUCGCCCACGAUGGACUGUUUUUUUUUUUUAGCCGUUGCUCGUAUCUUGUGGUAGACACUGAGUAUGUUGGUGCUAGACAUCGCUUUGGUAGUUUUCAUAUGUUUUUGAUUUUAUUUGUGGGCUUGACUUGGUGAAGGUGCUGGUGGCCGGUGCUUUUCGAUUCCGUCCUUCCCUCUUCCCUUCUUGUCAUCUAUUCGCAGUUUUUCCGAAUACAGAACUGAAAAGGGGCUGUGGCUGAUGGGAAAGCUGAGAAGAGUUACCCACCCCACCCGCCCCCGCCCCUCUUCGGUGAUGAGCUGUGAGGGAGACUUCAUCUCUGUAUGCGUGUGUUUGUGUGGCAGUUGAAUUUCACGGCGUACGUGUCUGCGUUUUCGGGUCUUACAUGUUUCUCCUCUUUUUCUGGUUAUUCUUCUCUUCCAUGUCCAGUGCUCUCCC
rnacentral:misc_RNA from 1 species